rnacentral:misc_RNA from 1 species
GCAAACUUGGUCAUUUAGAGGAAGUAAAAGUCGUAACAAGGUUUCCGUAGGUGAACCUGCGGAAGGAUCAUUAAAAUAUCGUGCACCUCUGGCCCGCGCGCGACCUCCGAGCCCUCCAGGGGGCUGAGGGGGUGCGCGUUGAAGUUACGGUCAGGCGUGUUCACCCGUCACCCUUUGUGAAACUUCCACCGUUGCUUCGGCAGCACUGAGCGGGGUAACCGCCGGGUAAGGCUGCCGGAAGCCCACAACAAAACCAGUUGAUGAAAUGUCAUGCUGUCUGAUGCUUUAUUAUUUGAGAAAUCAAAAUCAUAUUAAAACUUUCAGCAACGGAUCUCUUGGUUCCCGCAUCGAUGAAGAACGCAGC